GGGUUUUCACAGUGGCAGUAUCCUAGCUCAUGAGGUAAAACGGAGGCAUGAUUAUUGCUAAUUGCAAACUUUUCCCAAUACCCUGCUAUUUAGGUUUUGGAUAGGUUACUUCGGGUGAACUCAAAUGUAACUGCUAAAUUCUGAUGUCUGCAGGCCCCCAGA
rnacentral:snRNA from 1 species